GCAGCUGCAGCUCCAAUUCAACCCCCACCCUGGGAACUUCCAUAUGCCCCAAGUGCAGGCAUAAAAAGACCAAAAAAAAAAAAAUCCAGGGAAUGACUUUUAGAAUUAAUUUAAGGGACUUCUUUGGCAAAAUCUGUAGAGGGACUUGGUUUCUUAAAUUUCAAUUUACUGGUAAAGUCCUUUUCUUGAAUCUCAAAUUUUGAUACUAAAUUUAUAUUAUAUACAAGAAUAUAAACUGCAUGGGGUUUGCACCAGUCUACAUAUCAAUAACUUGCAACUCAGCAUGAACGAAUUUUACUUCCUGUUUGCCGGAGGUGCUGGGAUAGAGAUAAUGCAGUCGUUAUCAAGAAGUCAUAAAAAGAACCGGGUAUAGUUCUUCUAAGGGGUGUUACAGUUUUGCUCACUUAAGGAAAGAAGAAAUCAAGAGUACGAAGAGAUUUAGUAUCAGUAGUGCGAAGAAGGAAGUAUUCUUUCAGAGAAAAACUAGUAUGUCAUCUCAUAGCUUUGUACUUGGCUCAUUGUUUCCAACUUCUUUAAUUGUUAAUUCAGAAUUAUUUCUAAGGAAUGUUAGACAAGAUUGGACAAGAUUGUAAUAUGGAGUGAUAGUUGUACUUUCAUGUGGGGAUAAAUUGAGAAUAAGUUUGCAAUAUAUAGAAAUUUACCUGCUACAUUUAGCUCCAGAAGUAUUUAUAGAUGCUUAUGGUUUCUUUCACAAAAAUAAGCAUGGAAUUCCGAUAUAUUUGCAAGGGUUGAUAUUUUGGAAAACAUUUUUUUUCCCGCUUUUGAUGAUUUUUUUUCAUUUUUUAACUUUCUCUAAAUAUUAGGUAACGCAAUGUUUUAAAGUUUUGAUAGACAUUCUUAACCCACUGGAUUUACCAGAAACCUUCUAUUUCUCCAUAAAAUGUAUUAACAAAUGCCUGUACUACACUGCACACUGUUAAUCCCCUGCCACCGCUUCUGCUCCCAACAGGUUCAGUUGUGGGCUUACUAAGAGUUUGUUGUGUUUUAUUUAUUUAUUUUUAUUUUUUGUCUUUUCGCCAUUUCUUGGGCCGCUCCCGUGGCAUAUGGAGGUUCCCAGGCUAGGAGUCAAAUGGGUGCUGUAGCCACCGGCCUACGCCACAGCCACAGCAAUGCGGGAUCUGAGUCGAGUCUGCAACCUACACCACAACCCACAGCAAUGCUGGAUCCUUAACCCACUGAGCAAGGGUAGGGAUCGAACCCGCAACCUCAUGGUUCCGUCGGAUUUGUUAACCACUGUGCCAUGAUGGGAACUCUGAGUUAGCUGUGUUUUAAACCAGACUUGCUUAUGCCAGCUAUACUUGUAAUUGUGAUCAUGUAAUUAAAUUAGGUAUCACAUAAUUUGGUAAAGUAUAAGACUGAAAACAAUGUUGAAUACUUUGGUCAUACUCCUUAAAAAUGAAUUCCUAAAAAUGUUUUCUUCUAAAUUACAUGUAGGCCAGAGAAAUGUACAAAAUUGGAAGGACUUUACCCUCAGAUACUUUUAACUUCCCACCGCACUUCAAAGAUAGUGAAACUGGAAGUCAUAGGUGAUGUACUUGGGCUGGAUUUUAGGCGAGAAAGACAGUAGGAAUAGGAGUUCACUGGUGGCUCAGUGGGUUAAGGAUCUGGAAUUGUCAAUGGUGUGGCUUGGUCACCGCUCUGGUGCAAGCUCAACCCCUAGACCUGUGCAUGCUGCAGGUGCAGCCAAAAAAAUGGGAGGGAGAGGCUAGGGAAUAAACAUGGAUUUUAUGGAUUUUAUAUUUUAAAAUAAAACCUUUAGUAAACAUUGUUCACCCCCCCCCCCCAUUCUUACUUUCAUGGAACUUUUUGAUGAAAUGAUUAACCAACUGUUAGAACUUAACAGUGAAGGGACUCUACUGUAUAUAGUUGUAUAGUUGCAAUUUUGUUAAAGAAAUAAAUUAUCUGCUAUUCCUACUUUCUUAAUUUAAAAAAAGGAAUCAAAAUGUUGACGUGUUCAUGUUAAGUCAUCUUAUUCCUAAAAUGCUUAAAUAUCCAUGUAUUUUUGGUAUAGUCCUAAUUACAUGAUCAAAGACCGAUUUCACUGAUAGAUGUUAUUUGUGCCAACUCUACUAAUAUUUAUCUUAAGGCGUAAAAGUUGGUGGAGAGAAAAUGCCCUUCACUGAUUCAUUGUGGUUUAGUGGGUAACAAACCUCACUAGAAUCCAUGAGAACGUGGGUUCGAUCCUUGGCCUCAUUCGGAGGGUUGAGGAACCGGUGUUGCUGUGAGCUGUGGUAUAGGUCGUCGAUGAGACUCUGAUCUGGCAUUGCUGUGGCUGUGGCGUGGGUGGGGGCUGCAGCUCCAAUCUGACCCCUACCCUGGGAACUUCCAUAUGCAGCCCUAAAAAGAAAGAAAAAAAAAAAA
rnacentral:lncRNA from 1 species